UGCCUGAUGGAGGGGGAUAACUACUGGAACGGUAGCUAAUACCGCAUAACGUCGCAAGACCAAAGAGGGGGACCUUCGGGCCUCUUGCCAUCGGAUGUGCCCAGAUGGGAUUAGCUUGUUGGUGGGGUAACGGCUCACCAAGGCGACGAUCCCUAGCUGGUCUGAGAGGAUGACCAGCCACACUGGAACUGAGACACGGUCCAGACUCCUACGGGAGGCAGCAGUGGGGAAUAUUGCACAAUGGGCGCAAGCCUGAUGCAGCCAUGCCGCGUGUAUGAAGAAGGCCUUCGGGUUGUAAAGUACUUUCAGCGGGGAGGAAGGGAGUAAAGUUAAUACCUUUACUCAUUGACGUUACCCGCAGAAGAAGCACCGGCUAACUCCGUGCCAGCAGCCGCGGUAAUACGGAGGGUGCAAGCGUUAAUCGGAAUUACUGGGCGUAAAGCGCACGCAGGCGGUUUGUUAAGUCAGAUGUGAAAUCCCCCGGGCUC
rnacentral:rRNA from 1 species